rnacentral:tmRNA from 2 species
GGGGAUGACAGGCUUUGACGGUUAUGGUCCGUGCGAACGGCGCGUGUCGAAGAUGGUGUUGUCCUUCGUAAAAACACACCAACCCUUAAUUGCAAAAGCAAUCAAGAGUCCUUACGCGUCUAACGUGUUUGGAUACGCUUACGCUGCGUAGGUUGAGUUUUUAACUCCCUCGCCCGUUGCGCGUUACGCUUCGUUCGUCAUAUCUCGAAGCAGUGGCGUUAUAUCGAUAUGACUCGGCAGUCGCAGUGCGUUCUCACUUCGACACCUAAAAAAUAGGAACUGCACUUCGCCUUCUCGUUCACUCUCCCGAAAGCGAAGUUAAGCCUUCAGAGUGUCCUACACACGUAGACACCCUCGCACACCAUAAUUCGGACGAGAGUUCAAUUCUCUCCAUCUCCACAA